AGUAUCAAUUGGAGGGCAAGUCUGGUGCCAGCAGCCGCGGUAAUUCCAGCUCCAAUAGCGUAUAUUAAAAUUGUUGCAGUUAAAAAGCUCGUAGUUGAAUUUCUGCUGCAUUACAUAUCUCUUGUUUGAGUUUGUUUUUGUGGCUUAUUUCGGUUUGAUUUUUUCUUUCCGGAUGAUUACUUUGAGAAAAUUAGAGUGCUCAAAGCAGGCUUUUGCCUUGAAUAGUUUAGCAUGGAAUAAUAAAGUAGGACUUUGGUUCUAUUUUGUUGGUUUUAGGUACCAAAGUAAUGGUUAAUAGGAACAGUUGGGGGCAUUCGUAUUUAACUGUCAGAGGUGAAAUUCUUAGAUUUGUUAAAGACGAACUACUGCGAAAGCAUUUGCCAAGGAUGUUUUCAUUAAUCAAGAACGAAAGUUAGGGGAUCGAAGACGAUCAGAUACCGUCGUAGUCCUA
rnacentral:rRNA from 1 species